rnacentral:rRNA from 1 species
AUUGAACGCUGGCGGCAUGCCUUACACAUGCAAGUCGAACGGUAACAGGUCUUUCGGGAUGCUGACGAGUGGCGAACGGGUGAGUAAUACAUCGGAACGUGCCUAGUAGUGGGGGAUAACUACUCGAAAGAGUGGCUAAUACCGCAUGAGAUCUAUGGAUGAAAGCAGGGGACCUUCGGGCCUUGUGCUACUAGAGCGGCCGAUGGCAGAUUAGGUAGUUGGUGGGAUAAAAGCUUACCAAGCCUGCGAUCUGUAGCUGGUCUGAGAGGACGAUCAGCCACACUGGGACUGAGACACGGCCCAGACUCCUACGGGAGGCAGCAGUGGGGAAUUUUGGACAAUGGGGGAAACCCUGAUCCAGCAAUGCCGCGUGCAGGAUGAAGGCCUUCGGGUUGUAAACUGCUUUUGUACGGAACGAAAAGUCUUGGGUUAAUACCCUGGGAUCAUGACGGUACCGUAAGAAUAAGCACCGGCUAACUACGUGCCAGCAGCCGCCGUAAAAC